rnacentral:rRNA from 1 species
UACGUAGGGUGCGAGCGUUAAUCGGAAUUACUGGGCGUAAAGCGUGCGCAGGCGGUUUUGUAAGCCAGAUGUGAAAUCCCCGGGCUUAACCUGGGAAUGGCAUUUGGAACUGCAAGGCUAGAGUAUGGCAGAGGAGACUAGAAUUUCUGGUGUAGCAGUGAAAUGCGUAGAUAUCAGAAGGAAUACCGAUGGCGAAGGCAGGUCUCUGGGUCAAUACUGACGCUGAGGCUCGAAAGCUAGGGGAGCAAAAGGG